UUAUGUCACUGAGGCUGUCCCAGAAGGCUGCUGGCCUGGCUGCACUUCUCAACUGCCCUUGUCCACAUGGAACAGCGUGUCCAGGGAAGCCCCACCUGGCCCAAAGAGGGCAGCAGGUGGGAGAUUCCUUGUGGUCACUGAGCUGUGUGUCUCCCCGCUCAGGGGCUUUGGCCUCCCAGGCAGCAGGAGCAGGCUCCUGUGUGCAGAGUCGGGUGGUGCCUGCUGCUCCUCAGCUCUGGGCGAAGCUGCCCUCCCUCCUUAAACCCCCUCAGAGCCCGGCUGAGUCCUCUGCCUCCAGGCCUCCUGGGUGUCUGUGUGCUGGCCGAGCUCUGGAUGAGCAGAGACACGGCCCCUCAUGCAGCCCAGGGGUCUGAGCCAGUUCACCAACCCAGACCCUGAAAAGGAGGGCUGGGUGCACCCGGGAAAGACCCCGCUGCACGCAGACAUCGCAAAUGCCAAGGCUGUCUCCAUCGGCCACCAGAGAGCUGCAGCUGUCUACUGGGUGUCUGAACUUCAGAAAGCGACCUGGGGACCUACGAGGACGGAUUCCAGCUCUGAAAUGGCACUAAUCCCGGGGCUCCGAUGUGCCAUGUGACCCCUUCGGGGCUGGGCUGUGUUCCGUCUGCAGAUAAAUGGGGUUUGGCGGG